rnacentral:rRNA from 1 species
GAUGAACGCUGGCGGCGUGCUUAACACAUGCAAGUCGAACGAAGCACUCUAUUUGAUUUUCUUCGGAAAUGAAGAUUUUGUGACUGAGUGGCGGACGGGUGAGUAACGCGUGGGUAACCUGCCUCAUACAGGGGGAUAACAGUUGGAAACGACUGCUAAUACCGCAUAAGCGCACAGGAUUGCAUGAUCCGGUGUGAAAAACCCCGGUGGUAUGAGAUGGACCCGCGUCUGAUUAGCCAGUUGGCAGGGUAACGGCCUACCAAAGCGACGAUCAGUAGCCGACCUGAGAGGGUGACCGGCCACAUUGGGACUGAGACACGGCCCAAACUCCUACGGGAGGCAGCAGUGGGGAAUAUUGCACAAUGGGGGAAACCCUGAUGCAGCGACGCCGCGUGAGCGAAGAAGUAUUUCGGUAUGUAAAGCUCUAUCAGCAGGGAAGAAGAAUGACGGU